rnacentral:tRNA from 1 species
GACGCUUUGGUGGAGUGGUUAACACGUAUCCCUGCUAUUAACAGCAUCUCGUUUGACGAUUGUAAGGAUAUCCUCUUUGAGGGCGUGAGUUCGAAUCUCACAGGCGUCG